rnacentral:rRNA from 1 species
UACGUAGGGUGCAAGCGUUGUCCGGAAUUAUUGGGCGUAGAGAGCUCGUAGGCGGUUCGUCGCGUCGGCUGUGAAAUCCCGAGGCUCAACCUCGGGUCUGCAGUCGAUACGGGCGGACUGGAGUUCGGCAGGGGAGACUGGAAUUCCUGGUGUAGCGGUGAAAUGCGCAGAUAUCAGGAGGAACACCGGUGGCGAAGGCGGGUCUCUGGGCCGAUACUGACGCUGAGGAACGAAAGCCAGGGGAGCGAAAGGG